rnacentral:rRNA from 1 species
CUGGUCUGAGAGGACGACCAGCCACACUGGAACUGAGACACGGUCCAGACUCCUACGGGAGGCAGCAGUGGGGAAUUUUGGACAAUGGGCGCAAGCCUGAUCCAGCAAUGCCGCGUGCAGGAUGAAGGCCUUCGGGUUGUAAACUGCUUUUGUACGGAACGAAACGGUGAGCUCUAAUACAGUUUGCUAAUGACGGUACCGUAAGAAUAAGCACCGGCUAACUACGUGCCAGCAGCCGCGGUAAUACGUAGGGUGCGAGCGUUAAUCGGAAUUACUGGGCGUAAAGCGUGCGCAGGCGGUUAUAUAAGACAGAUGUGAAAUCCCCGGGCUCAACCUGGGACCUGCAUUUGUGACUGUAUAGCUAGAGUACGGUAGAGGGGGAUGGAAUUCCGCGUGUAGCAGUGAAAUGCGUAGAUAUGCGGAGGAACACCGAUGGCGAAGGCAAUCCCCUGGACCUGUACUGACGCUCAUGCACGAAAGCGUGGGGAGCAAACAGGAUUAGAUACCCUGGUAGUCCACGCCCUAAACGAUGUCAACUGGUUGUUGGGUCUUCACUGACUCAGUAACGAAGCUAACGCGUGAAGUUGACCG